GGGAACAAAACAGGAAGAAAGAAAGAAAGAAAGAGAGUAAGGAAGUGCAGCUCCAAGGACAUUCUGAUAAUGAUGGUAACAACAAACAACGAGGGAUUGGAGAACUCCAUCUGGAUAGGUCCCAGAGGGAAACAAACUUAGUGUGCAAGUGUGUGUUUGAGUAUUCAAAAAAAAAGUAACAGGCUGUGUGUGUGUGUGUGUGUUUGUUUGUCCCUAAUCUGCAGCUGUUUCAGUGCUGCCUGUUCCCUGAGGAGAGUGAAAGAGAUCUCAGGCGGACUAAAUCGUCAAAACAACCCUAAAAAUGCAGAUAAGAAGAGCGGCACUGCAAUUUCCGACCGCAUGCUGGUUCUUCUUGACAUGUCUACGCAGAUUUUACAGCACACAUUGAUUUGCCCACAGAUAUCUGGAGAAUGAAUGCCUGUCGGAGAGGAAUUGAAUUAUUCUCGCCAUCCUGUUAUGUCAACACACCCACUGGCAGUUUUGUUUGAUCCGCAGCCUGCUGUUCCGGAUUUAUUCUGGUAGUCGCGUCGUAUUCAACACAUGGGCCUUCGUUUUUUUUAUACCACUCAAGAGUUUCGGAUUUAUACUGUGCCAAGACUAUACAACAUGCCUGCAAUAUUUACAGAUUACUCCAAGUUCACCUGGCACCAUUUCUCAGCCUGCAAUGGGAGAGAUUUGACCUGACAGGGUUGUGAUGAAAUGGAAUAAAAAGGGAUUGGAAAGUGAAAUAUUUCGAAGUGGAAAGCUUUGUGCCUGUGCUACUGUGAUGUUGCUUUUGACAACAAAUGCAGAUGUUAGUAGUGUGAUUUGCAUUCACACA